CGUGGGAGCAAACAGGAUUAGAUACCUGGUAGUCACGCUGUAAACGAUGUCGAUUUGAAGGUUGUUCCCUUGAGGAGUGGCUUUCGGAGCUAACGCGUUAAAUCGACCGCCUGGGGAGUACGGCCGCAAGGUUAAAACUCAAAUGAAUUGACGGGGGCCCGCACAAGCGGUGGAGCAUGUGGUUUAAUUCGAUGCAACGCGAAGAACCUUACCUACUCUUGACAUCCAGAGAAUUUAGCAGAGAUGCUUUAGUGCCUUCGGGAACUCUGAGACAGGUGCUGCAUGGCUGUCGUCAGCUCGUGUUGUGAAAUGUUGGGUUAAGUCCCGCAACGAGCGCAACCCUUAUCCUUUGUUGCCAGCACGUAAUGGUGGGAACUCAAAGGAGACUGCCGGUGAUAAACCGGAGGAAGGUGGGGAUGACGUCAAGUCAUCAUGGCCCUUACGAGUAGGGCUACACACGUGCUACAAUGGCGUAUACAAAGAGAAGCGACCUCGCGAGAGCAAGCGGAACUCAUAAAGUACGUCGUAGUCCGGAUUGGAGUCUGCAACUCGACUCCAUGAAGUCGGAAUCGCUAGUAAUCGUAGAUCAGAAUGCUACGGUGAAUACGUUCCCGGGCCUUGUACACACCGCCCGUCACACCAUGGGAGUGGGUUGCAAAAGAAGUAGGUAGCUUAACCUUCGGGAGGGCGCUUACCACUUUGUGAUUCAUGACUGGGGUGAAGUCGUAACAAGGUAACCA
rnacentral:rRNA from 1 species